rnacentral:tRNA from 1 species
GCCUUGAUAGUAUAAACAUUACACUGGUCUUGUAAACCAGAAACGAAGACUUAAUUCUUCUCAAGACA